UACGUAUGGUGCAAGCGUUAUCCGGAUUUACUGGGUGUAAAGGGAGCGUAGGCGGCGCGUUAAGUCUGAUGUGAAAACCCGAGGCUCAACCACGGGAGUGCAUUGGAAACUGGUAGACUUGAGUGCAGGAGAGGAGAGUGGAAUUCCAUGUGUAGCGGUGAAACGCGUAGAUAUAUGGAGGAACACCGGUGGCGAAAGCGGCUCUCUGGCCUGUAACUGACACUGAGGCUCGAAAGCGUGGGGAGCAAACAGG
rnacentral:rRNA from 1 species